UCGUAACAAGGUUUCCGUAGGUGAACCUGCGGAAGGAUCAUUACCGAGUGAGGGCCCUCUGGGUCCAACCUCCCACCCGUGUUUAUCGUACCUUGUUGCUUCGGCGGGCCCGCCGCAAGGCCGCCGGGGGGCAUCUGCCCUCUGGCCCGCGCCCGCCGAAGACACCAUUGAACGCUGUCUGAAGAUUGCAGUCUGAGCAAUUAGUUAAAUAACUUAAAACUUUCAACAACGGAUCUCUUGGUUCCGGCAUCGAUGAAGAACGCAGCGAAAUGCGAUACGUAAUGUGAAUUGCAGAAUUCAGUGAAUCAUCGAGUCUUUGAACGCACAUUGCGCCCCCUGGUAUUCCGGGGGGCAUGCCUGUCCGAGCGUCAUUGCUGCCCUCAAGCACGGCUUGUGUGUUGGGCUCCGUCCUCCUCCCGGGGGACGGGCCCGAAAGGCAGCGGCGGCACCGCGUCCGGUCCUCGAGCGUAUGGGGCUUCGUCACCCGCAUACUGUAGGCCCGGCCGGCGCUUGCCGACACAUCAAUCUUUUUUCCAGGUUGACCUCGGAUCAGGUAGGGAUACCCGCUGAACUUAAGCAUAUCAAUAAGCGGAGGAAAAGAAACCAACAGGGAUUGCCCCAGUAACGGCGAGUGAAGCGGCAAGAGCUCAAAUUUGAAAGCUGGCCCCCUCGGGGUCCGCAUU
rnacentral:misc_RNA from 1 species